rnacentral:rRNA from 1 species
AUUGAACGCUGGCGGCAGGCCUAACACAUGCAAGUCGAGCGGAUGAAGGGAGCUUGCUCCUGGAUUCAGCGGCGGACGGGCGAGUAAUGCAUAGGAAUCUGCCUGGUAGAGGGGGCUAACGUCCGGAAACGGGCGCUAAUACCGCAUACGUCCAGAGGGAGAAAGGGGGGGAUCUUUGGACCUCACGCUAUUAGCUGAGCCUAGGUCGGAUUAGCUAGUUGGUGGGGUAAAGGCCUACCAAGGCGACGAUCCGUAACUGGUCUGAGAGGAUGAUCAGUCACACUGGAACUGAGACACGGUCCAGACUCCUACGGGAGGCAGCAGUGGGGAAUAUUGGACAAUGGGCGAAAGCCUGAUCCAGCCAUGCCGCGUGUGUGAAGAAGGUCUUCGGAUUGUAAAGCACUUUAAGUUGGGAGGAAGAGCAGUAAGUUAAUACCUUGCUGUUUUGACGUUACCAACAGAAUAAGCACCGGCUAACUUCGUG